rnacentral:tRNA from 1 species
CAGAAAAUAGUUUAAAAAAAAAUAAUAAUUUUGGGGAUUAUUGAUAAAGAGUAAUUUUUUUUUCUGA